ACGGGUGAGUAACACGUGAGUAACUGCCCUUGACUUUGGGAUAACUUCAGGAAACUGGGGCUAAUACGGGAUAGGAGCUCUGCUGCAUGGUGGGGGUUGGAAAGUUUCGGCGGUUGGGGAUGGACUCGCGGCUUAUCAGCUUGUUGGUGGGGUAGUGGCUUACCAAGGCUUUGACGGGUAGCCGGCCUGAGAGGGUGACCGGCCACAUUGGGACUGAGAUACGGCCCAGACUCCUACGGGAGGCAGCAGUGGGGAAUAUUGCACAAUGGGCGGAAGCCUGAUGCAGCAACGCCGCGUGCGGGAUGACGGCCUUUCGGGUUGUAAACCGCUUUCGCCUGUGACGAAGCGUGAGUGACGGUAAUGGGUAAAGAAGCACCGGCUAACUACGUGCCAGCAGCCGCGGUGAUACGUAGGGUGCGAGCGUUGUCCGGAUUUAUUGGGCGUAAAGGGCUCGUAGGUGGUUGAUCGCGUCGGAAGUGUAAUCUUGGGGCUUAACCCUGAGCGUGCUUUCGAUACGGGUUGACUUGAGGAAGGUAGGGGAGAAUGGAAUUCCUGGUGGAGCGGUGGAAUGCGCAGAUAUCAGGAGGAACACCAGUGGCGAAGGCGGUUCUCUGGGCCUUUCCUGACGCUGAGGAGCGAAAGCGUGGGGAGCGAACAGGCUUAGAUACCCUGGUAGUCCACGCUGUAAACGGUGGGUACUAGGUGUGGGGUCCAUUCCACGGGUUCCGUGCCGUAGCUAACGCUUUAAGUACCCCGCCUGGGGAGUACGGCCGCAAGGCUAAAACUCAAAGGAAUUGACGGGGCCCCGCACAAGCGGCGGAGCAUGCGGAUUAAUUCGAUGCAACGCGUAGAACCUUACCUGGGUUUGACAUGGAUCGGGAGCGCUCAGAGAUGGGUGUGCCUCUUUUGGGGUCGGUUCACAGGUGGUGCAUGGCUGUCGUCAGCUCGUGUCGUGAGAUGUUGGGUUAAGUCCCGCAACGAGCGCAACCCUUGUUCACUGUUGCCAGCACGUUAUGGUGGGGACUCAGUGGAGACCGCCGGGGUCAACUCGGAGGAAGGUGGGGAUGACGUCAAGUCAUCAUGCCCCUUAUGUCCAGGGCUUCACGCAUGCUACAAUGGCUGGUACAGAGAGUGGCGAGCCUGUGAGGGUGAGCGAAUCUCGGAAAGCCCGGUCUCAGUUCGGAUUGGGGUCUGCAAC
rnacentral:rRNA from 1 species